GACGAACGCUGGCGGCGUGCUUAACACAUGCAAGUCGAACGGAAAGGCCCUGCUUUUGUGGGGUGCUCGAGUGGCGAACGGGUGAGUAACACGUGAGUAACCUGCCCUUGACUUUGGGAUAACUUCAGGAAACUGGGGUUAAUACCGGAUAGGAGCUCCUCUUGCGUGGUGGGGGUUGGAAAGUUUCGGCGGUUGGGGAUGGACUCGCGGCUUAUCAGCUAGUUGGUGGGGUAGUGGCUUACCAAGGCUUUGACGGAUAGCCGGCCUGAGAGGGUGAACGGGCACAUUGGGACUGAGAGAGGGCCCAGACUCGUACGGGAGGCAACAGUGGCGAAUAUUGCACAGUGGGCGGAAGCCUGAUGCAGAGGCGCCGCGUUCGGGAUGACGGCCUUCGGGGUGAGAACCGCUUUCGCCUGUGACGAAGCGUUAGUGACGGUAAUGGGUAAAGAAGCACCGGCUAACUACGUG
rnacentral:rRNA from 1 species